GUUGUAUGGUUAAGUGACUAAGCGUACACGGUGGAUGCCUGGGCAGUCAGAGGCGAUGAAGGACGUGCUAACCUGCGAUAAGCCAAGAGAAGAUGGUAAGAAUCACAAUACUCUUGGAUUUCCGAAUGGGGAAACCCAGCUGCAUAAGCAGUUAUCAGCAAGUGAAUACAUAGCGUGCUGAGGCGAACCGGGGGAACUGAAACAUCUAAGUACCCCGAGGAAGAGAAAUCAACCGAGAUUCCGGCAGUAGCGGCGAGCGAAACCGGAUUAGCCCUUAAGCUAGUCUUGCGUUAGGUGAACAA
rnacentral:rRNA from 1 species